rnacentral:rRNA from 1 species
UGGGGAAUAUUGGGCAAUGGGCGAAAGCCUGACCCAGCGACGCCGCGUGCGGGAAGAAGGUCUUCGGAUUGUAAACCGCUUUUAUAAGGGACGAAGAAAUGACGGUACCUUAUGAAUAAGCCACGGCUAACUACGUGCCAGCAGCCGCGGUAAUACGUAGGUGGCAAGCGUUAUCCGGAUUUACUGGGUGUAAAGGGUGUGUAGGCGGGGAGACAAGUCAGAUGUGAAAAUUAUGGGCUCAACUCAUAACCUGCGUCUGAAACUGUUUUUCUUGAGGGUCGGAGAGGUAACUGGAAUUCCUGGUGUAGCGGUGAAAUGCGUAGAUAUCAGGAGGAACACCGGUGGCGAAGGCGAGUUACUGGACGAUUACUGACGCUGAGACACGAAAGUGUGGGGAGCAAACAGG